rnacentral:telomerase_RNA from 1 species
UUAUUAACUAAACCCUGAACCUUCCCUCUUAACGAUGGGAAUCUAAACGAUUGGGGGUGUUUGGCCGGCGUUUCCCCCGAAAAAUAAUUAAAAAACGUCGAUGGUUACAUAAGAGGUUCGUCUCCAAGUUGGACCAUUGGGUUGGGUUUGGUUCGUUAGGUGGUUCUGCUGAAACUAGAUUAGUGUCUGCGGUUAACCGUUUCCUCGCCUUCCCUCCCACCUCCAAAUUUU